rnacentral:rRNA from 2 species
CCUGAGAACCCAAAAGAUCGAAUGAGGAGAUUCAUCGUCAAUGUAUGUGGUAUUAAUGCUAGUUAUGAUAUGGUAGAUAAUCCUUGUGGUUACUAUACUGUACAUUCUAGUAUUAUUUUUGCCAUGUACGUCGGCGUGCACUUCUCCUCUAGUAGAACGUCGCGACCCGUUAGAUGUUGAUCUGUGGCCUGAUUGAUUGCCUCUAUCUGCUUGCAGUUGGAGAUCAUUAGUGUUCCUGAUCAACUGUUUGACGGUACUCGUAUGGUAUUCAGUCGCUAUCAUUAGCGUUAAGAUCAUUGCAAGUGCGGUUGAUAUUCGACAGUGCGGAUCUAAUGCCGUCGUUGACGUCAAUCACCUGUUAGCGAUGAUUUUCUUUAACUGACUUAUAUACCGGUCAGCGACCCUUCUGCUUUGGGUACUUUCAGGACCCGUCUUUGACA